rnacentral:tRNA from 1 species
GUCUUAUAGUCAAAUUAUGAUAUUAGAAUGCAAUUCUAAAGUUACAUUAAGUUAAGGUUU